rnacentral:rRNA from 1 species
CGAUAAUUUGCCCUUAGGUCUGGGAUAGCUUUGGGAAACUGAAGGUAAACCCGGAUAGAAGAUAGAUACUGGAAUGUUCUUUCUUUGAAAGGUCAACGCCUAAGGAUAAGUCGGCGGCUGAUUAGGUAGUUGGUGAGGUAAAGGCUCACCAAGCCUCGGAUCAGUAGGGGGGAUGAGAGUCCUAGCCUCGAGAAGGGCACUGAGAUACUGGCCCUAGCCCUAAGGGGUGCAGCAGGCGCGAAACCUUUACAAUGCACGAAAGUGUGAUAAGGGAAUUCCGAGUGCUUUGCUUUCGGGUAAAGCUUUUGUUAAGAGUAAAAAUCUUAGUGAAUAAGUGGUGGGUAAGACGGGUGCCAGCCGCCGCGGUAACACCUGCGCCACGAGUGGCAAUCACAUUUAUUUGGUUUAAAGCGUUCGUAGCCGGUUUAAUCAGUUCUUUGUGAAAUUGUUAGGCUUAACCUAACAACGUGCAAGGAAUACUAUUAAACUAGGAACUGGGAGGGGGUAGGAGUACUUUAGGGGGAGCGGUAAAAUGUUGUAAUCCUUAAAGGACUACCUGUGGCGAAGGCGCCUACCCAGAACAGCUUCGACGGUGAGGAACGAAGGCUAGGGGAGCAAAACGGAUUAGAUACCCGAGUAGUCCUAGCAGUAAACGCUGCGAGCUAGGUGUUGCAUAUUCUCCGAGAUUAUGCGGUGCCUAACCGAAGGUGUUAAGCUCGCCACCUGGGAAGUACGGUCGCAAGGCUGAAACUUAA